GAGUUUGAUCGUGGCUCAGGACGAACGCUGGCGGCGUGCUUAACACAUGCAAGUCGAACGGUAAGGCUCCAGCUUGCUGGGGUACACGAGUGGCGAACGGGUGAGUAACACGUGGGUGACCUGCCCUGCACUUCGGGGAUAAGCCUGGGAAACUGGGUCUAAUACCGGAUAGGACCGCACCGUGAGGGUGUGGUGGAAAGUUUUUUCGGUGUGGGAUGGGCCCGCGGCCUAUCAGCUUGUUGGUGGGGUAAUGGCCUACCAAGGCGGCGACGGGUAGCCGGCCUGAGAGGGUGGACGGCCACAUUGGGACUGAGACACGGCCCAGACUCCUACGGGAGGCAGCAGUGGGGAAUAUUGCACAAUGGGCGGAAGCCUGAUGCAGCGACGCCGCGUGGGGGAUGACGGCCUCGGUUGUAACGUACC
rnacentral:rRNA from 1 species